rnacentral:rRNA from 1 species
CGGGCCCUACGGGAGGCAGCAGUGGGGAAUAUUGCACAAUGGGGGAAACCCUGAUGCAGCAACGCCGCGUGCGGGAUGGAGGCCUUCGGGUUGUAAACCGCUUUUGUUCAAGGGCAAGGCACGGUCUUUGGCCGUGUUGAGUGGAUUGUUCGAAUAAGCACCGGCUAACUACGUGCCAGCAGCCGUGGUAAUACGUAGGGUGCAAGCGUUAUCCGGAUUUAUUGGGCGUAAAGGGCUCGUAGGCGGUUCGUCGCGUCCGGUGUGAAAGUCCAUCGCUUAACGGUGGAUCCGCGCCGGGUACGGGG